rnacentral:rRNA from 1 species
GCAGCAGUAGGGAAUCUUCCGCAAUGGGCGAAAGCCUGACGGAGCAACGCCGCGUGAGUGAAGAAGGUUUUCGGAUCGUAAAGCUCUGUUGCCAGGGAAGAAGAGCUGGUAGAGGAAAUGCUACGAGCGUGACGGUACCUGAGAAGAAAGCCCCGGCUAACUACGUGCCAGCAGCCGCGGUAAUACGUAGGGGGCAAGCGUUGUCCGGAAUUAUUGGGCGUAAAGCGCGCGCAGGCGGUCCUAUAAGUCUGGUGUAUAAUCCCGGGGCUUAACCCCGGAUCGCACGAGAAACUGUAGGACUAGAGUACAGAAGAGGAGAGUGGAAUUCCACGUGUAGCGGUGAAAUGCGUAGAGAUGUGGAGGAACACCAGUGGCGAAGGCGACUCUCUGGGCUGAAACUGACGCUGAGGCGCGAAAGCGUGGGGAGCAAACAGGAUUAGAUACCCUGGUAGUCCACGCCGUAAACGAUGAGUGCUAGGUGUUAGGGGUUUCGAUACCCUUGGUGCCGAAGUAAACACAGUAAGCACUCCGC